rnacentral:rRNA from 1 species
AGUGAGCGCUGGCGGUAGGCCUAACACAUGCAAGUCGAACGGCAGCACAGUAAGAGCUUGCUCUUACGGGUGGCGAGUGGCGGACGGGUGAGGAAUACAUCGGAAUCUACUUUUUCGUGGGGGAUAACGUAGGGAAACUUACGCUAAUACCGCAUACGACCUACGGGUGAAAGCAGGGGAUCUUCGGACCUUGCGCGAUUGAAUGAGCCGAUGUCGGAUUAGCUAGUUGGCGGGGUAAAGGCCCACCAAGGCGACGAUCCGUAGCUGGUCUGAGAGGAUGAUCAGCCACACUGGAACUGAGACACGGUCCAGACUCCUACGGGAGGCAGCAGUGGGGAAUAUUGGACAAUGGGCGCAAGCCUGAUCCAGCCAUACCGCGUGGGUGAAGAAGGCCUUCGGGUUGUAAAGCCCUUUUGUUGGGAAAGAAAAGCAGCAGGUUAAUACCCCGCUGUUUUGACGGUACCCAAAGAAUAAGCACCGGCUAACUUCGUG